UCUCCCACUUUAAUCAGAGCAGCUGCUGCGAAGUGGUUGUUAUGGAAGUAUUUUGCAAUUUCAACAACAUUAGCCUUUAUUUCUGGAACACUGAAGUCUUUGGCUAGGA